rnacentral:rRNA from 1 species
GUGAGGAAUAUUGCGCAAUGGAGGCAACUCUGACGCAGCCAUGCCGCGUGCAGGAAGAAGGCGCUACGCGUUGUAAACUGCUUUUAACCGGGAAGAAACCCCAGGACGUGUCCUGGGUUGACGGUACCGGAGGAAUAAGCACCGGCUAACUUCGUGCCAGCAGCCGCGGUAAUACGAAGGGUGCAAGCGUUAUCCGGAUUCAUUGGGUUUAAAGGGUGCGUAGGCGGAGCGUUAAGUCAGUGGUGAAAUCCUGCAGCUUAACUGUAGACUUGCCAUUGAUCCUGGCGCUCUUGAGUGCGCUUGAAGUGGGCGGAAUGUGCCGUGUAGCGGUGAAAUGCUUAGAUAUGGCACAGAACACCAAUUGCGAAGGCAGCUCACUAAGGCGAUACUGACGCUGAGGCACGAAAGCGUGGGGAUCGAACAGGAUUAGAUACCCUUGUAGUCC